GUCAUGCUGGUUUCGCAGUCAUUCGACAGCUUUGAAUUCCUCACGAAGCAGGCGUACGUCAUUCGGUGUGAAAUUGAGUUCAAAUAUGGUCCAGUCAGUUUGUUUUAGUCAUGUUGUGUCCGGUACCUGCUAGGACAAUCGUUUGUGUUCCUCAAUUGAGGCACUUUGGAUUUCGAGUUUUGCUGAUUGUUUAUGUUGUGGAGAUUUCAUGAAGCUGGUUGUAUUUGUUUGCUGUGAAAUUCCAAUUAGGAUUUGAGUUUGGGUGGGACGCGGGUAGUUGUGGUGCUGGAAUGCUUAAGCGGGGAGCGGUUGUGUGGAUUUUAAAGCUUGUUGGAUUGGACAUUUUGUGUGAUCUGCUCAGCGCACUGGAGACGCGGUCCCGAAAAGGGCAAUUAUACAAUGCCUUUACCGUCUCCACAUUUGCGGAUUCUAGGCAGAACGUCACGUCUCUCGUCAAUUUGUUAUGGAGAUCGUCCAGGCAGCGCGAAGGACCUUCGGAUAGAGCAAUAUUGGGGUUGCGGUGUCCCAUGGGAUAAUAGGCGUUGUGAGAUGGAGAUUGGAUCAGUGACAGUAAAAUUGGAGGCAUGUCAGGAUUAGUGACCACGACCGAGAAGGGCUUAGAGAUAGUGAAGGCAGAGACGAUAACGAUGAGAGGGAAAGAGAGAAUUCUAGAAGUAGAUUCCAGUAGGGACAAGGAACAGAAAAAAGGGCUUGUAAGAGAACGGAGAAGUUGAGUGCGAGCAACAGAGGCUCAUGGAGAGCCUGGAGAAAUUACAACCUCAACUCAGAAGAAGAAUGGAGAAUUUGACUGAAGAGUUUAUCGGGAUUCGCAACCAAAAGCAACCAUAGAUUCUGGAAGCACUGGCUACGUCUUAGAUCAAAUUGUAUAGCCAGAGAAGUAGCACUAAUUCAAUUCUACAGUUUGAGACUGAGUGGACUCUACAACUUUACCACAAGCUUCAAAUUCACAAUCAGCGCCCCAUCCUCCGAUCAAGUUUGGUUUAAAUGCUCCUACCCAUGCACAUCAGCGUUCAUCUAGUAGUCCGUCCCCGCCCACGUCUCUUAAUCCAUCUCUUCUUAAUGCAGAUGCAAACGCAACGGGAUCUCCUUUAAGAGAAGAAUCCCAUGAAUCCUCCUGUUGCUCAGGUAGUGGGAAGGUUUUCCUCGAUUGCGAGUCUUUCCGAUCAGGUAAGGUCACAAGUAAGUUUGAGAGGGAAGAGUGUAGUGUCCCCUAGUCUGUGUGAUUGUGUGAUGGAUAAAAGGUCGGGGUCGUCGAGGUGAAGCAACUGAGGUCGAUUCAGAGCCAGAAGAAAACCUAGUCCAAAGCGAUCCUGAGUAUCGUGCAAUUGAUCUUUUUGAAAGGUCGUACAUCAGUUGAUGAAUUAUAAAAACUGAACAAGAUAGAUGAGGGAACUUAUGGAAUUUUGUUCCGUGCCAAAGAGUAGAAAACAGGGAAAUUCGUUUGAAGAAGGUAAAGACAGAGAAGGAAAAAGCACGAUUCCUAUGACUUCUUUCCGAGUAAUCAAUGUCUUGUUAUCAUUUCACCAUCCGUAGAUUGUCGACACUAAGGUAGUUAUUGUUGGGGUAAGUCAGGACCAUAUUUUCAUAGUUAUGGAGUUUAUGGAACAUGGCUUCAAGGGCCUGAUCAAGACCACGAAACAACCUUUUACCCAAAGUGAGGUUAAGUGCCUAAUUGUGGAAAUUAUUUGAUGGUGUUAAGUGCCUACACGAUAAUCGGGACUUGCACAGGGAUUUGAAAACAUCAAACCUUUCUUGAACAACCGCGGAGGACUCCAAAACCUGCGUCUUUGGUCUUGCGCGUCAAUAUGGAGAUCCUUUGAAGGAGUAUAUAAGUUAAGUUGUCCGGAGGUACUACUUAGAGUGAAACAGUAUUCAAGGGCGGUUGAUAUGUGGUCAUCAAGUUGUGCAAUGGCAGAGUUUCUUGCGAAGGAGCCCCUUCUUCCCAGAAAAUCACCCAUUCAUGAGAAAGAUAUGAUUUUUAAGACCUUGAGAAUUCCAAUUGAGAAGAUUUUGGCCUUAUUUUGAGAAGCAGCCUAGCGUAAGUUGUAAUUUUAUCACGCAGGCAAUUUAAGGAAAAUUUCCAGCAACAACUUUCGUGGAACGGCCAACUUUAUUUGAUUAAGGUUUCGAGUUUUUGAACUGGCUGCUCUCUUAAGAUCUUUCGAAGUAUAUUACAGCUGACCAAACCCUUAAUCAUGAUUAAUUUAAUGAGGUUUUUUUGCCAAAGGCCAAGCAGUUCAUUCCUGCGUUUCAAUCCCAAUGUGAGCAGGAUUUGUGAAUGUGGCGACACAUUCCCAGCCCUGAUCACUCGGAAGAACAAAGAAAGCAUGAGCUGAAAGGAGUGGAGCUUUGAGGCGAGGGGCUGUUUGGUUAGACAUGGUAAGCACUAGUGGUAAGAAAAUACAACCUUUUAACAGUGAUCAUAUGUUUCCAGUUGAAUUCUUCCUAUUCUCAUCCAUUGGAGGCUUUUUCAAGAACAGAAAAGUUCUAAAACUUGUUUUAACCUAUGUUUGAAUACUUGUUCAAUAGUUUUUAUCCUUGAAUUCGUAAUGUUUUUCCAUGAGGCAGAAUUGUUCAGCAUUUGAGCAAAAGCACACAAUUACCCCGUUUGGAUUUCGAAACCUCCUGAAUGGAUUUCAUGCAUGCUUGAAAUUUUUCCGGUGCUUUAAAUUGGACGGGAGGCAUGUAGAGUGGAAAUCUGUGUUCUGAUCGCUUUAGUGCGUCUGAGUUGUGGCUCCGUUUUUACGUGCUAUUAUCAACCGCCAUGAAGGCCGAAUUAUAGUUCGAUUCGAGAGGAACGGUCUUGUGCGUUUGGUGAUGUUGAGAACCAAGACCUCAUGCAUGGUCCAGUUGUGUCUACUCUGCAAGUUUCUGCGACACCUUCGUUUGCAUGCAUCGUUUGCAAGGAAUGAGCACGUCAUUUAUAAUGUAACUUCAGGCCUUUGCAAACGAAUGGGAUUAGCAGAGUGGUCAGUUGCAAGCAAGUAAUAAAUUUGUUCCUUAAUUAUGGAAGAUACCAGAUGAUUGUCAAGCCUUUACCAAGACUAAAACACGUGGAAUCUCAACUUCGUCUUCUCUGAGCGUGACCAAAUACCAUUUUCGAGGCUACAUUUUUCUCGAGCACAGGAAAGUAAAUGGUAAUCAUCUGCAAUCAUGUAAUUAGGGUCACCGUGGUCGUCGACAUCUCCAUCUAUCAGCCUAGGGUAUCUCUCACCGAAGAUUGAUGUCAGAAGCACCCUAUGAUACCACUUAUACACCGACCUACGAAAAUGAAAUGUCACUAUGCUUAAGCUCUACACAAGAGGGGUGGGUCAUAGUUGACGUGGAAAGGGAAACAUGAUCUAUGGGAGCACCCUUUUGGUAAGCGUUUGAGUAAACAAUGAGGCGAGGAGGCCUUAGUAACAACUCAGCAGUUGCAUGGAGACACAGAGGCGAUGCAAUCCGGAGAUCCGUGCAUUUUGAACGGUGGUGGGAAGCGCACAAAUUUGGAAGAUUAACGUCAAUAGCGGUUUGCAGCAUGAUUAUCUCAAUUAUCAUAUUGAUUUCACGACCUAUGAGUUUGUCAGGACCUGAUCUAUCCGAUAACCUUCAGUCAAGCACGCAUGGCGUUGUGUUCCCAUUAUACCACUACACAUAUUUUCCAAAUGACAGUGCUGAAAUGGGAGGCCGUGAAAUGUGGUAUGGCGGCAGGGGAGCAAUUAGAAGGGAGAUUCGCGAAGAGUCUAAUUUAUUAUUGAAUAUCCUUGGUGGAUAUUCAUCAAAUCAUAUAGACAUAGGGCACUUCUACAUUGAAAUGAAACUGGGUUUCCCUCCUACAAGUUAUCACUUUCACGUCGACACUGGGAGUGGACACACGUGGGUAUACUGCAAUCCUCGGAACUAUAUGUUGGAACUUUCUUAUUGGGGACCCCAUGGAUUGUUUGUGCCUGAAGAUUACUCUUACUUGAAGUGCAUAGGGGAAACAGCGAGUUUAUGUGAAGCAGUUCAAAAUGGAAUAGAACCGUGUAAUAGUGAUAACAAGUAUCUGUGCGUAUUUAUUGCUCAUUAUGCAGAUAAUUCUUAUUAUUCAGGUGUUUUUGUCCAUGGAAACUUUACAGUGCCGCUGCAAGACAAAAGUGAAGCGAACGUGUUGGGUUUAUUAGGUUGUGUAGUUUCGAAGGUGCUUCAAGGCUCUGAACAAGUCCCGUUGAUUACCGACGGCCUUAUUGGUCUCGGCAAUUGCAAGGGGACUCUUAUGGAACACUGGUCAAAGAGCAACGUUAUCAGCCAGAAUGUACUUGCUGUUUGUUUGGCAAAAGAAUUGGAGCGGAACACUACAAUUAGUCCAGCAACUCCUAGGGGCUUCAUCUCCCUCGGCAACGACUUCAAAGAGCAGUUUGACCGUAAUUCGGUUUGGUCAAAAUUGGCAGAUGCAGAAAGCGGUGUUUUAUGCGGAUAUGCUGCAAAACUACUAUCAAUUUCAUUUCACGACAAAGCUUUAGUCUUCAGCUCAAGAUUUGCUCGGCAGUCCAUUGGAAUCUCGCUGCUUUUUGACACCGGGAGCGACAUGACGUAUUUUGAUGCAGUUUUCUACGACCCACUUUUAAGGAUGCUUGAGGACUAUGCAACGCUUAGAGGAUACAUUAGAGUGGAAGACAAUGAUAAAUACGUUGUUAAUGAGCAAAGAGUAUGCUGGGAACCCCCUCGGAAGACGAUGGUUCAGGCUGCCGGUGAAUUUAGUACAGUAUUGUGCUGGACGAGGCCACACAGGAUGAAUCUUCCUUUGCAGCUAAAUGUGGUUAAAGUCUACAGACUGGAGGAUCACCAAUUCAAGACUUUCUGCCCCUUGUCUUGGCAUUCGAGGGGAUACCUAGCACCACGGAGUCAGCUCCUCUUCAGUAUCUCGUUGUGCAUCCAGAAAACUAUUUGUCUUGGGACGCACAAGUGAAAAAGCUUUGUGUGAACAUCCUUCAAGACUACAGUGUUGGAACUUCAGUAUCUAACCUUGGGGCUGAUAUGAUGAGAGAACAUCUCUUCGUCUUUGAUUAUGAGAAACAGAGAGUUCGAUGGCAAUCAAAUAGCUGCGCGUUGUAAUGGUUGAAUUGGUUCACUUGAAUUUGGACUUUCUGGCUUUCGUUCUUGCUCCAGUGUUUAGUUUGCGCAACUCCAGACAUAACUGAACUGAACAAAUCGAAAAUGGAGAUUCUUAGUCUCGUUCACUCAUGUUGUUCGAUUUUGUAUGAGAUUUCAGUGACGACCUGCAGCUACAUUCCAGCUUCAAUCAGAUGCAGCUACAACAACCAGAGAGUUCCUCGAUGAAGAAUUUUAUUCCGUAUAGAAGAGGAAAUUUUCAUAAGCCACUGAUUAGUCCAUCAUUUUGGUUUAACGAGAUGUGAUGGCAACACUCCCUUUGUGAAGUAUGAAUUCCAAACGGUACCUAAUCUUCAUAGAUGCAGAUUCUUUUUAGAUCGUACUUUGAUGUUAGCUUGAAUUUUUUAUGCAAACAUUUCUAUUUCCCAUUGUGCGGUUUGGUGCUAGUAUGCAUACUUGUCUGUUUCGUGACUGGAUUAUUCUGAAUCAAUGCACCUUGUUCCAAA